rnacentral:rRNA from 1 species
AUUGAACGCUGGCGGCAGGCCUAACACAUGCAAGUCGAGCGGGGUUUUCGGACCUAGCGGCGGACGGGUGAGUAAUGCGUAGGAAGCUGCCCGAUAGAGGGGGAUACCAGUUGGAAACGACUGUUAAUACCGCAUAAUGUCUACGGACCAAAGUGUGGGACCUUCGGGCCACAUGCUAUCGGAUGCGCCUACGUGGGAUUAGCUAGGUGGUGAGGUAAUGGCUCACCAAGGCGACGAUCUAUAGCUGGUUUGAGAGGAUGAUCAGCCACACUGGAAGUGGGACACGGUCCAGACCCCUACGGGAGGCAGCAGUGGGGAAUAUUGGACAAUGGGCGCAAGCCUGAUCCAGCCAUGCCGCGUGUGUGAAGAAGGCCUUCGGGUUGUAAAGCACUUUCAGCGAGGAGGAAGGGGUGUGUGUUAAUAGUACACACCUUUGACGUUACUCGCAGAAGAAGCACCGGCUAACUCUGUGCCAGCAGCCGCCGUAACAC